rnacentral:rRNA from 1 species
UCGAGGAUCUUCGGCAAUGUGCGCAAGCACGACCGAGCGACGCCGCGUGGGCGACGAAGGCCUUCGGGUUGUAAAGCCCUGUCGAGGGGGAGAAAAGCCGGAAAGGGUGUGAUCUAUCCCUGGAGGAAGCUCGGGCUAAGUUCGUGCCAGCAGCCGCGGUAAGACGAACCGAGCGAACGUUGUUCGGAAUCACUGGGCUUAAAGGGCGCGUAGGCGGGCUGCCAAGUUUGGGGUGAAAUCCUCCGGCUCAACCGGGGAAGUGCCUUGAAUACUGGCGGUCUGGAGGGAGGUAGGGGCGUGCGGAACUGUGGGUGGAGCGGUGAAAUGCGUUGAUAUCCACAGGAACUCCGGUGGCGAAGGCGGCACGCUGGACCUUUUCUGACGCUGAGGCGCGAAAGCCAGGGGAGCGAACGGGAUUAGAUACCCCCGUAGUCC